rnacentral:rRNA from 1 species
GCUAGCAAUGUACGUCUGUGGUUCAGCCGGCUAGUCUUGUCGAGUUGCCGUUGUGCGGAUCCGAAUGGACUGCCUGCGGUGACGGCGGUGGGCAGAGCUAUGGUGCACCUCCAUGGACAGUGCGCGUCAGCGUCGGUUCCCGACGGAUGACAAGGUGCGUGGGAAAGGUAGCUCGAUCUUCGGAGCGAGUGUUACAGACCCGUGCACUGGAUUCGUCGUGGGACCGAGGAGAGAGAUGAUCGCUGCGGUACCUGCCUUUCGGGGCUAGCCAGCUGUUGCCAGGUGUGCGCCAGAUGCUGAGGACUGCACGCAGUGCUCGGUGUUGAGGUGUGGCCUGGUGGUGGUGUGGGUAUAGAGGUACCUAGGACGCUGGCGUCCAAAUGGCCGUGCGCGACCCGUCUUGAAACACGGACCAAGGAGUCUAACAUGUGCGCGAGUCUUAGGGUGUGCAAGCCCUCGGGCGCAAUGAAAGUGAAGGUUCGGCACUAGUCGAGCUGAGGUGAGAGCCACUUCUAGCCUGUGCUACGGUGGCGCAUCAUCGGCCGGUCCAUCCUGCUCUCAGGGGGAUCCGAGCAAGAGCGUAUUUGUUGGGACCCGAAAGAUGGUGAACUAUGCCUGAAUAGGGUGAAGCCAGAGGAAACUCUGGUGGAGGCUCGUAGCGAUUCUGACGUGCAAAUCGAUCGUCAAAUUUGGGUAUAGGGGCGAAAGACUAAUCGAACCAUCUAGUAGCUGGUUCCCUCCGAAGUUUCCCUCAGGAUAGCUGGAACUCGUAAACACAGUUUUAUCAGGUAAAGCGAAUGAUUAGAGGUCUUGGGGGUGAAACACCCUCAACCUAUUCUCAAACUUUAAAUCGGUAAGAAGCGCGACUUGCUCAAUUGAAGCCGCGCAACCAAUGUGAGUUCCAAGUGGGCCAUUUUUGGUAAGCAGAACUGGCGAUGCGGGAUGAACCGAACGCUCGG